rnacentral:rRNA from 1 species
UGGGGAAUAUUGGACAAUGGGCGAAAGCCUGAUCCAGCCAUGCCGCGUGUGUGAAGAAGGUCUCCGGAUUGUAAAGCACUUUAAGUUGGGAGGAAGGGCAGUAAGCGAAUACCUUGCUGUUUUGACGUUACCGACAGAAUAAGCACCGGCUAACUCUGUGCCAGCAGCCGCGGUAAUACAGAGGGUGCAAGCGUUAAUCGGAAUUACUGGGCGUAAAGCGCGCGUAGGUGGUUCGUUAAGUUGAAUGUGAAAGCCCCGGGCUCAACCUGGGAACUGCAUCCAAAACUGGCGAGCUAGAGUAGGGCAGAGGGUGGUGGAAUUUCCUGUGUAGCGGUGAAAUGCGUAGAUAUAGGAAGGAACACCAGUGGCGAAGGCGACCACCUGGGCUCAUACUGACACUGAGGUGCGAAAGCGUGGGGAGCAAACAGG